CCUACGGGAGGCUGCAGUGAGGAAUAUUGGUCAAUGGCCGGAAGGCUGAACCAGUCAAGCCGCGUGAGGGACGACUGCCCUAUGGGUUGUAAACCUCUUUUAUAAGGGAAGAAUAAAUGCUACGUGUAGCAUGAUGCCUGUACCUUAUGAAUAAGCAUCGGCUAACUCCGUGCCAGCAGCCGCGGUAAUACGGAGGAUGCGAGCGUUAUCCGGAUUUAUUGGGUUUAACGGGUGCGUGGGCGGUUUUUUAAGUUAGUGGUUAAACGUCGGGGCUACACCUUGCGUUGCGAUUAAUACUGGAAGACUAGAGUUCAGACGAGGUAGGCGGAAUAAGGUAAGUAGCGGGGAAAUGCUUAGAUAUAA
rnacentral:rRNA from 1 species